GUUUCCGUAGUGUAGUGGUUAUCACAUGCGCUUCACACGCGCAAGGUCNUGGGUUCGAACCCNAGUGGAAACA
rnacentral:tRNA from 1 species